rnacentral:rRNA from 1 species
UGCAGUCGAACGGGACUUUUAGCUUUUUCGAAAGUCUAGUGGCGAAAGGGUGAGUAACAAGUGGGUAAUCUGCCCUAGGGUUCGGGAUAACCUGUCGAAAGAUGGGCUAAUACCGGAUACGUUCUAUCAAUACUUUUGAUAGAGGAAAGAUGGGGAUCCGUUAGGACCUAUCUCCCUUGGAUGAGCCCGCUUCCUAUCAGCUUGUUGGUAAGGUAAAAGCUUACCAAGGCUAAGACGGGUAGCUGGUCUGAGAGGAUGGUCAGCCACACUGGGACUGAGACGCUGCCCAGACACCUACGGGUGGCUGCAGUCGAGAAUCUUUCGCAAUGGGGGAAACCCUGACGAAGCGACGCCGCGUGCAGGAUGACGGCCUUCGGGUUGUAAACUGCUGUCAGCUGGGAAGAAAAAGCAGCCAACUAAUACUUGGCAGCCUUGACGGUACCAGCAGAGGAAGCCACGGCUAACUCUGUGCCAGCAGCCGCGGUAAUACAGAGGUGGCAAGCGUUGUUCGGAUUUAUUGGGCGUAAAGGGUUCGUAGGCGGUUUGAAAAGUCGGAUGUGAAAUCUCACAGCUCAACUGUGAAACUGCAUUCGAAACUCUCAAACUUGAGUAUGAGAGGGGUAAAGGGAAUUCCCAGUGUAAGGGUGAAAUCUGCAGAGAUUGGGAAGAACACCAGUCGCGAAGGCGCUUUACUGGCUCAUUACUGACGCUGAGGGACGAANGCUAGGGUAGCCAACGGGAUUAGACACCCCGGUAGUCCUAGCCGUAAACGAUGAUCACUAGAUGUCGGGAGGGUUAAACCUUUCGGUGUCGACNCUNACGCAUUAAGUGAUCCGCCUGGGGAGUANNNUCGCAAGGCUGAAACUCAA